rnacentral:rRNA from 1 species
GGGCCCGCACAAGCGGUGGAGCAUGUGGUUUAAUUCGAUGAUACGCGAGGAACCUUACCAGGACUUAAAUGUAAGUUGCAUGAUUCAGAAAUGAAUCUUUCUUCGGACUACUUACAAGGUGCUGCAUGGUUGUCGUCAGCUCGUGCCGUGAGGUGUCAGGUUAAGUCCUAUAACGAGCGCAACCCCUAUCGUUAGUUGCCAUCAAGUAAAGUUGGGAACUCUAGCGAAACUGCCGGUGCAAACCGAGAGGAAGGUGGGGAUGACGUCAAAUCAUCACGGCCCUUACGUUCUGGGCUACACACGUGCUACAAUGGUGGUGACAGUGGGCAGCAAUACUGCAAAGUAAAGCUAAUCCCAAAAAACCAUCUCAGUUCGGAUUGGACUCUGCAACUCGAGUCCAUGAAGUUGGAAUC